rnacentral:rRNA from 1 species
GACAGAGGGUGCAAACGUUGUUCGGAAUUACUGGGCGUAAAGCGCGUGUAGGCGGCCAUCUAAGUCGGGCGUGAAAUCCCACGGCUCAACCGUGGAAGUGCACUCGAAACUGGAUGGCUAGAGUCCUGGAGAGGAAGGUGGAAUGCUUGGUGUAGAGGUGAAAUUCGUAGAUAUCAAGCGGAACACCGGUGGCGAAGGCGGCCU